CCUACGGGGUGCAGCAGUCGAGAAUCAUUCACAAUGGGGGAAACCCUGAUGGUGCGACGCCGCGUGGGGGAAUGAAGGUCUUCGGAUUGUAAACCCCUGUCAUGUGGGAGCAAAUUAAAAAGAUAGUACCACAAGAGGAAGAGACGGCUAACGCUGUGCCAGCAGCCGCGGUAAUACAGAGGUCUCAAGCGUUGUUCGGAAUCACUGGGCGUAAAGCGUGCGUAGGCUGUUUCGUAAGUCGUGUGUGAAAGGCGCGGGCUCAACCCGCGGACGGCACAUGAUACUGCGAGACUAGAGUAAGGGAGGGGGAACCGGAAUUCUCGGUGUAGCAGUGAAAUGCGUAGAUAUCGAGAGGAACACUCGUGGCGAAGGCGGGUUCCUGGACAUUAACUGACGCUGAGGCACGAAGGCCAGGGGAGCGAAAGGGAUUAGAGACCCGAGUAGUC
rnacentral:rRNA from 1 species